GACAGAGGAUGCAAGCGUUAUCCGGAAUGAUUGGGCGUAAAGCGUCUGUAGGUGGCUUUUUAAGUCCGCCGUCAAAUCCCAGGGCUCAACCCUGGACAGGCGGUGGAAACUACCAAGCUGGAGUACGGUAGGGGCAGAGGGAAUUUCCGGUGGAGCGGUGAAAUGCGUAGAGAUUACAUGGAAUACCAAUUGCGAAGGCAGGUUACUACUAAUGGAUUGACGCUGAUGGACGAAAGCGUGGGUAGCGAACAGG
rnacentral:rRNA from 1 species